ACUUAAAUUGAAGAGUUUGAUCAUGGCUCAGAUUGAACGCUGGCGGCAGGCCUAACACAUGCAAGUCGAGCGGUAGCACAGAGAGCUUGCUCUCGGGUGACGAGCGGCGGACGGGUGAGUAAUGUCUGGGAAACUGCCUGAUGGAGGGGGAUAACUACUGGAAACGGUAGCUAAUACCGCAUAACGUCGCAAGACCAAAGUGGGGGACCUUCGGGCCUCAUGCCAUCAGAUGUGCCCAGAUGGGAUUAGCUAGUAGGUGGGGUAACGGCUCACCUAGGCGACGAUCCCUAGCUGGUCUGAGAGGAUGACCAGCCACACUGGAACUGAGACACGGUCCAGACUCCUACGGGAGGCAGCAGUGGGGAAUAUUGCACAAUGGGCGCAAGCCUGAUGCAGCCAUGCCGCGUGUGUGAAGAAGGCCUUCGGGUUGUAAAGCACUUUCAGCGGGGAGGAAGGCGAUAAGGUUAAUAACCUUGUCGAUUGACGUUACCCGCAGAAGAAGCACCGGCUAACUCCGUGCCAGCAGCCGCGGUAAUACGGAGGGUGCAAGCGUUAAUCGGAAUUACUGGGCGUAAAGCGCACGCAGGCGGUCUGUCAAGUCGGAUGUGAAAUCCCCGGGCUCAACCUGGGAACUGCAUUCGAAACUGGCAGGCUAGAGUCUUGUAGAGGGGGGUAGAAUUCCAGGUGUAGCGGUGAAAUGCGUAGAGAUCUGGAGGAAUACCGGUGGCGAAGGCGGCCCCCUGGACAAAGACUGACGCUCAGGUGCGAAAGCGUGGGGAGCAAACAGGAUUAGAUACCCUGGUAGUCCACGCCGUAAACGAUGUCGAUUUGGAGGUUGUGCCCUUGAGGCGUGGCUUCCGGAGCUAACGCGUUAAAUCGACCGCCUGGGGAGUACGGCCGCAAGGUUAAA
rnacentral:rRNA from 1 species